rnacentral:rRNA from 1 species
CGCGUAGGCGGCCUGAUAAGUAGGGGGUGAAAUCCUGCGGCUCAACUGCAGGGCUGCCUCCUAGACUGUCGGGCUCGAGCACGGUAGAGGCAGAUGGAAUUCCCGGUGUAGCGGUGGAAUGCGUAGAGAUCGGGAAGAACAUCGGUGGCGAAGGCGGUCUGCUGGGCCGUUGCUGACGCUGAGGCGCGACAGCGUGGGGAGCAAACA